ensembl:lncRNA
GCUGCAUGAAGUGGCUGAAAGGCAUAGCUUUUGCACUACAGCUGAGCUCAUGCAGAGAAGAGAAACAUGUGAGACUUGGCCCUGGAUGUAAAACAGAGCCUGGGAACGUGCUAGAAAACCUGUGGCCAGAGACAAUAGGCCAAGGAGUGAAGCUCUUUCCAGCAAUGAGGCUUAGGGAGGUCAAAAGUGAGAUGGCCCAGCCCCCUGCAAUGCAUCAUGUUCUGGCAGCUGGUUUGUCACUGGAAGAUCUCGAAUCGCACGCACCUGGCAUCUGUCCCCUGCUUUGUGAUUUGUUGAUCGAGGCCAUUUACGUUUAAUCCAUUUUGAGCUUUCUGAUGUCUGGCAUUCGCAACAAGAACAACAACAGUGAUAGAAAGACGCAUUAAGGCUGGCGAGGGAUGGAUAAUACUGUCCGUCCUCACCAUAUCAAUAUUCCUCUUGUAUAGUUCAACAAACAGACUUCAUAUAAAAACCAUAAUGAUUUUUCCUUUGCUUUCACACUAUCACAUGUUGUUACCC